UAGCCUACGGGAGGCAGCAGUGAGGAAUAUUGGUCAAUGGGCGAGAGCCUGAACCAGCCAAGUCGCGUGAGGGAGUACUGCCCUAUGGGUUGUAAACCUCUUUUGUCGGGGAGCAAAAGCCGGACGUGUCCGGCUGUGAGAGUACCCGAAGAAAACGCAUCGGCUAACUCCGUGCUAGCAGCCGCGGUAAUACGGAGGAUGCGAGCGUUAUCCGGAUUUAUUGGGUUUAAAGGGUGCGCAGGCGGAUUUUUAAGUCAGCGGUCCAAUCGUGUGGCUCAACCCCAUUCAGCCGUUGAAACUGGGGG
rnacentral:rRNA from 1 species